AGAAUCAACGCUGGCGGCGUGCCUAACACAUGCAAGUCGAACGAGAAAGUGGAGCAAUCCAUGAGUAAAGUGGCGCACGGGUGAGUAACACGUGACUAAUCUACCCUUGAGUGGGGGAUAACCUAGGGAAACCUGGGCUAAUACCGCAUAAUACCUUCGGGUCAAAGGAGCAAUUCGCUUAAGGAGGGGGUCGCGGCCGAUUAGUUAGUUGGCGGGGUAAUGGCCCACCAAGACUGUGAUCGGUA
rnacentral:rRNA from 1 species